CUUGUCUCCAAAGAUUAAACCAUGCAUGUCUAAGUAUAAGCAAUUAUACAGCGAAACUGCGAAUGGCUCAUCAUAUAAGUUAUCGUUUAUUUGAUAGUACCUUACUACAUGGAUAACCGUGGUAAUUCUAGAGCUAAUACAUGCUAAAAAUCCCGACUUCGGAAGGGAUGUAUUUAUUAGAUUAAAAACCAAUGCCUUCGGGGCUAACAGGUGAUUCAUAAUAACUUCUCGAAUCGCAUGGCCUUGCGCCGGCGAUGGUUCAUUCAAAUUUCUUCCCUAUCAACUUUCGAUGUUUGGGUAGUGGCCAAACAUGGUGGCAACGGGUAACGGAGGGUUAGGGCUCGACCCCGGAGAAGGAGCCUGAGAAACGGCUACUACAUCCAAGGAAGGCAGCAGGCGCGCAAAUUACCCAAUGCUGACUCAGCGAGGUAGUGACAAUAAAUACUGAUACAGGCUCUUUUGGGUCUUGUAAUCGGAAUGAGUACAAUUUAAAUCCCUUAACGAGGAACAAUUGGAGGGCAAGUCUGGUGCCAGCAGCCGCGGUAAUUCCAGCUCCAAUAGCGUAUAUUAAAGUUGUUGUGGUUAAAAAGCUCGUAGUUGAACCUUGGGCCUGGCUGGCCGGUCCGCCUCACCGCGUGUACUGGUCCGGCCGGGCCUUUCCCUCUGUGGAACCCCAUGCCCUUAACUGGGUGUGGCGGGGAAACAGGACUUUUACUUUGAAAAAAUUAGAGUGCUCCAGGCAGGCCUAUGCUCGAAUACAUUAGCAUGGAAUAAUAGAAUAGGACGUGUGGUUCUAUUUUGUUGGUUUCUAGGACCGCCGUAAUGAUUAAUAGGGACAGUCGGGGGCAUCAGUAUUCAAUUGUCAGAGGUGAAAUUCUUGGAUUUAUUGAAGACUAACUACUGCGAAAGCAUUGCCAAGGAUGUUUUCAUUAAUCAGGAACGAAAGUUAGGGGAUCGAAGACGAUCAGAUACCGUCGUAGUCUUAACCAUAAACUAUGCCGACUAGGGAUCGGGCGAUGUUACUAUUUGACUCGCUCGGCACCUUACGAGAAAUCAAGUGCUUGGGCUCCAGGGGGAGUAUGGUCGCAAGGCUGAAAACUUAAAGGAAUUAC
rnacentral:rRNA from 1 species